GGGGAAUAUUGCGCAAUGGGCGAAAGCCUGACGCAGCAACGCCGUGUGUGUGAUGAAGGCCCUCGGGUCGUAAAGCACUGUCGGGAGCCAAGAUGGCCCCUUGAGACAACAUCAAUGGGGGUUGACGGUAGCU
rnacentral:rRNA from 1 species